GGUUCCGUAGUGUAGUGGUUGCACGCUGGCUUCACAUGUAAGAGGUCCAAGGCUCAAGCCCAUGUAGAAUCA
rnacentral:tRNA from 1 species